rnacentral:rRNA from 1 species
UACGGGGGGGGGCAAGCGUUGUUCGGAAUUACUGGGCGUAAAGGGCUCGUAGGCGGCCAACUAAGUCGGAUGUGAAAUCCCCAGGCUUAACCUGGGAACUGCAUCCGAUACUGGAUGGCUUGAAUCCGGGAGAGGGAUGCAGAAUUCCAGGUGUAGCGGUGAAAAUGCGCAGAUAUCAGGAGGAACACCGGUGGCGAAGGCGGGACUCUGGGCCGAUACUGACGCUGAGGAGCGAAAGCGUGGGGAGCAAACAGG